UACAGAGGUGGCAAGCGUUGUUCGGAAUCACUGGGCUUAAAGGGCGCGUAGGCGGGCUGCCGCGUCCGGGGUGAAAUCCCACGGCUCAACCGUGGAACGGCCCCGGGUACGGGCGGCCUCGAGGGGGGUAGGGGCGUGCGGAACUGUGGGUGGAGCGGUGAAAUGCGUUGAUAUCCACAGGAACUCCGGUGGCGAAGGCGGCACGCUGGACCCCUUCUGACGCUGAGGCGCGAAAGCCAGGGGAGCGAACGGG
rnacentral:rRNA from 1 species